AUAAUAACUUAGCGAAUCGCAUUAGCCUUUGUGCUGGCGAUGGUACAUUCAAAUUUCUGCCCUAUCAAUUUGAUGGUAGGAUAGAGGCCUACCAUGGUUUUUACGGGUGACGGAGAAUUAGGGUUCGAUUCCGGAGAGGGAGCCUGAGAGAUGGCUACCACUUCUAAGGAAGGCAGCAGGCGCGCAAAUUACCCAAUCCUGAUACAGGGAGGUAGUGACAAGAAAUAACAAUACAGGUCCCAAUACGGGCCUUGUAAUUGGAAUGAGUACAAUUUAAACCCCUUAAUGAGUAACAAUUGGAGGGCAAGUCUGGUGCCAGCAGCCGCGGUAAUUCCAGCUCCAAUAGCAUAUAUUAAAUUUGUUGCAGUUAAAAAAGCUCGUAGUUGGAUCUCGGAACAGGGAAUAACUGGUCUGCCGGUUGGUAUGUACUGUUGUUCCCGUUCUCUACUGAUGGAAACUUAUCUCUACUCUUAAAAUGAGCGGAGAGUAGAUCAGUAGAAUGAAUGUUGUUUUCGAACUCAUUC
rnacentral:rRNA from 1 species